AAGACACUAGUAAAAUAAAUUACCUUGCCUUGUCAAGGCACCAUUGUAGGUUAGAGUCCUGCGUGUCUUA
rnacentral:tRNA from 1 species